UUAAAUCUCAACCUUUGCAAUCCACAGCAAUCAAGCCUUUCUGCAAUAAAAAUUAUCAAAUUGGCAGGGUGUGAAUUUAAGUAAAGCACUAGACCCAGUGUUCCAGGGUUGUAAGCAGACAUAGAACAUGUUGCAAAUAACCAGAAAGCAGAUUUAGGGAUACAAUUAUAGCAUCAGAAUAAACGUAGGAGGCAGGAUACAGAGGUUUUAUGAACAGUG